rnacentral:rRNA from 1 species
GACGAACGCUGGCGGCGCGCUUAACACAUGCAAGUCGAGCGAGAACCAGACCUUCGGGUCUGGGGACAGCGGCGAACGGGUGAGUAACACGUGGGUAAUCAACCCUCGGUACUGGGAUAGCCCGGGGAAACCCGGAUUAAUACCGGAUGGCCCCUCGGAUCUUCGGUUCUGAAGGAAAAGGUAGCUUCGGCCUCCGACCGAGGACGAGCCCGCGGCGGAUUAGCUUGUUGGUGGGGUAACGGCCUACCAAGGCGGCGAUCCGUAGCUGGUCUGAGAGGACGAUCAGCCACACUGGGACUGAGACACGGCCCAGACUUCUACGGAAGGCAGCAGUGGGGAAUCUUGCGCUAAUGCGGGAAACCGUGACGCAGCGACGCCGCGUGAGGGAAGAAGGCCUUCGGGUUGUAAACCUCUUUCAGGAGGGACGAAGCUACUCGGGUUAAUAGCCCAGAGGGUGACGGUACCUUCCGAAGAAGCCCCGGCUAACUACGUGCCAGCCGCCGCGGUAA